rnacentral:rRNA from 1 species
AGUGAACGCUGGCGGUAGGCCUAACACAUGCAAGUCGAACGGCAGCACAGUAAGAGCUUGCUCUUACGGGUGGCGAGUGGCGGACGGGUGAGGAAUACAUCGGAAUCUACUUUUUCGUGGGGGAUAACGUAGGGAAACUUACGCUAAUACCGCAUACGACCUACGGGUGAAAGCAGGGGAUCUUCGGACCUUGCGCGAUUGAAUGAGCCGAUGUCGGGUUAGCUAGUUGGCGGGGUACAGGCCCACCAAGGCGACGGUCCGUAGCUGGGCUGAGAGGAUGGUCAGCCACUCUGGAGCUGAGACACGGUCCAGACUCCUACGGGAGGCAGCAGUGGGUAAUGUUGGCCAAUGUGCGCAAGCCUGAUCCAGCCAUGCCGCGUGGGUGAAGAAGGCCUUCGGGUGGUAAAGCCCUUUUGUUGGGAAAGAAAAGCAGCAGGUUAAUACCCCGCUGUUCUGACGGUACCCAAAGAAUAAGCACCGGCUACCUUCGU